ensembl:snRNA U1 U1 spliceosomal RNA
AUCCGUACCUGGCCGGGGAGAUAUCAUGAUCACGGAAGUGGUAUUCCCAGGGCGAGACUUAUCCAUAGCACUCCGGAUGUGCUGACCUCCGUGAUUUCCCCAAAUGCAGGAAAUUCAACUGCAUAGUUUGUGGUAGUGGGGGACUGAGUUCGCGCUUUCCCUUG